rnacentral:pre_miRNA from 1 species
UUUGUACUCCCUCUGUCCCAAAAUUCUUGUCUUAAAUUUGUCUAAAUACGGAUGUAUCUAGUUACAUUUUAGUGUUAGAUACAUUCGUAUCUAAACAAAUGUAAGACAAGAAUUUUGGGACGGAGGGAGUACCUC